UACAGAGGUGGCAAGCGUUGUUCGGAAUUACUGGGCGUAAAGGGCGCGUAGGCGGUUCGUUAAGUCCUGUGUGAAAUCCCCCGGCUCAACUGGGGAACUGCACAGGAAACUAGCGGGCUUGAGUUCGGGAGAGGGAAGCGGAAUUCCGGGUGUAGCGGUGAAAUGCGUAGAUAUCAUCUGGAACGCCAAUGGUGAAAACAGCUCGCUGGGGGUUUGCAGACGCUGAGACACGAAAGCCAGGGGAGCAAACGGG
rnacentral:rRNA from 1 species